UUUUUUUUUUUUUUUUUUUUUUGAUGUGAGUUCGGGGAAUCAACCCCACGUCUCCGAGCUCGCAAGACAAGCAAGCACUUGAUCUACAGAGUCGCACUGGCAGCUCUACACUUUCCUAGUGCUUAGAUGUUGUCCUUUGACCUCAGGCAUGGUUGAAGAAGCGCAGCCAGCAGGAAGCCUCCGUCUUCCUGAGUCUGUAUGAUAAGGUGUUUGAAGACGCAUACACGUACAUGAAACUAAGCCUCAACCCCAAGAUGCAGCUCCUGGAGUGUAAUUACAUCAUGCAGGUGAGACUCCGCUCUGCUUUGUACCCACCCUUCUGAAAACACCUGAAGCUUUCCGCUCGGCUGCCUCACGGGGCACCUAGUAUAGGAAGUCCUACAGCCUAGGAGCUCUUUUUAAGUGGCUUGGGGGGUGAGGGCUCUGAGAUUUGAAUCCCUAGAGAAAGAGGGAUGAAUCCGCACACUAGUAAUCUAACUUUGGAGCCAGGAGCCACAGAGGAGGCCUUUUAGUUUUUAGAUGGGGAAAGCAGACCCAGCCACAGGAGCUGGGGUAGAACCCACACUUGUGGCUUCCCAACUCAUUCCUCACUUCCGUUGGUCACACAGCCCGACCGAAGCUUUAUCUGUCCUCUAACACUGGGGACCGCAAGGACACUCAUCAGGCUAUGUCUUGAGAUAUUAUUUCUGUUUUCUUUUCUCUUCCCCCUCUUGCUUUCCAUUUUCUCCUUUCAAAAAUGUCAGCCUGCGCAUUUUUAAAAUUGAGACUAAAAAAAAAAAAAUGGAUCUUAUCUGAAAUCUCUUCCAGUCUCUCAAUCUCCUGGAAGGUUUAAUCCCUUCCAAAGAAGAAGGUGGCGUCUCGUCGGGGGACCACCUCCACAAGCUGUUUGUGUUUGGUCUGAUGUGGAGCCUGGGAGCCCUUUUGGAACUGGAUAGCAGGGAAAAACUGGAAGUCUUCCUCCGAGGUCACGGGAGCAAGCUGAACCUGCCGGAGAUACCCAAGGGCUCCCAGCAGACUAUGUAUGAGUUUUACGUUACCGACUACGGUAAGUGCGGCUAAGUACGGUUCAAACAAAGCGACCUGAAAAUACAAAUGGCCAAGGAGUUGAGAGCUAAGGCCACCGGGGAAUCUAACUACAAAGAUGUUUUAACAAUAAGCCAGAGGUGGGAUUUUUCCAUAUCAGCUGUGCUGAGGGUGACCGCCCUGACUUCUCCACUUGGAGUGGUCUAAGGAAGAUCGGCUGGGAGGAGCAGCUCCCGGCACAUCGCCUGCUUCCUAACGCUUAGGAAGUAACAGGGAAGCACACACAACAGAGGGGUCCCACCACCUCUGUUGCCAAUGCCAGUGCGAAUAGAGGGAGCCCAGUGGGCAGGGCAUUGCCCCUGGCCCCGCUCAGCUUUCCUUUAAAUCAGUGCCCUUCGACUCAAUGCUUUUAUCCAGAACCAGGCUCGAACUGCUCCCUUGCCUCCGAGACAACAAAGCAACCAAAGAUCCUGCCCUGGCUCCUAUAUUUACCUCUGCUGCUUCUCCAAAGCGCCAGAGCUGCAAAGGCGUUUUUGUGUGGCUAUAUUAAAAGGAGAAAUAGGACAGGAGGGGAGAUGGGAGAGAAAAACAACGAGAGAGUAAGCAGAAGGCACGCAGCCUUUGAUUUAGCACACGGGCCACAACCUAACUCCUAGUUGCGGAGUAAUUUGCUGUGCAUCUCCGAGAAUCUCCGGAGGGCUCAGGGAGCAGGAGCAGGGGAGGUGGAACUAUUAGUCAGAGGGCUUGUCCUCAGUGUCUUUAAGAAAAAGAUCCCCUAACUCUCUUCCCAAAGCUGCCACCGGGUAGCGGGGCCCACGCGACGCUGCCAAUGAGCUUCUGGCUUUCCUUGGCACCUUUGAGGGCGGCAGAGCCUUGCCAGUGAGUUGGGGCACACGUCUGUGUUCGGAAUGGCCUUCCUCAAAGGACUGAGAUAGAGGGAUUGCGUCACUGUGCAAGUGUAGGGAUCAGAGGACGACUUGUGGGAGUUGGCUCCCUCCUCCCACUCUGUGGUGCUGGGGAUUGAACUUAAAUUGUCAGGCUUGGUUGCAAGCCCCUCUAGCUGCUGAGCCAUCUCAUGGACUCUUUCUAGUCUUACCACUGUAAAUGGUUUGUGCUGAUAGAAUUUAUAUGCCUGAGCAUCUGUGCCUAUGAAGUGAACCAAAGCAUUACGUACUCUGGGCUCAUAAAGGACUCUCAAGUUGUUAUCUCAUCCUUCAGUGUGUGUGUGUGUGUGUGUGUGUGUGUGUGUGUGUAUGUAUAUCUAUGUGUAUGUGUGUCUGUGUAUUGAAUGUGUGUCUAUGUCUCUGAAUAUAUAUGUUUUUGUGUACAUAUAUAUGUUUUUAUGCGUCUAUGUAUAUGGUUUGUAUGUGUAUAGUGUGUAAUGUAAAUAUGUGUAUGCAUUAUAUAUAUAUGUGUGUGUGUGUAUAUAUAUAUAUAUAUAUAUAUAUAUUGGGGGGAGUUCUUGUUAUUGUUGGACAUCAGCACUUUGGGAGAGACUCCAUUCUUAGAUUUAGAAGUCCCUGCUUUCAGGCCAGAUGGAAUUAGAGUCUGAGCCUCUAGCAUCAGCAAGUGGAGCGUGGUGUAUAGACCAGUGUCAUUUAGCCACUGGGAAAAGGCAGAAGGGAACCCUAUCACAAAGAGAAGGAGGCUUCCAGCAGGCACUUAGGGAAACCCCACCGGAACCACCCGUCUCAACAGGGCUGGAAGGAGUUGAUUUGGAGGAGGCCCCUAAGGGCUUUAAGAGGUAAUGCAGAGGGACCCGCACAGGGAGGAGGAGCCAGAGAGGAGACUGGAAGACAAAUCCACAAACAGGGAAACUGCAUGGAUGGGUGCACGGGACAAAUGCUAGGAUGCAGACAGGUGAUUCCAGCAAGGUACAGGGGCCUCGCCUUUGUACUGAGCUGACAGUUGUGGAACAGCCCCCUCUCAAGCAAGCAGAGUUUAUCUUCUCUUUCAAGAUCAGAGAACCAUUUACAGUAACACUGUAAAACCUUCAGAAGAGAGCGACUCUAGCAAUCUGUCCAUGUCGAGAAAAGGCUUCAGUUAAUCCC
rnacentral:lncRNA from 1 species